AUAGCUAGUUUCGCAUACGAAACCACUUAAUUAAAGUCAACAACGGUGAAAAGAUGAGCAUGCGUCCCAUUAGCUAGUUGGUAAGGUAACGGCUUACCAAGGCAACGAUGGGUAGGGGUCCUGAGAGGGAGAUCCCCCACACUGGUACUGAGACACGGACCAGACUCCUACGGGAGGCAGCAGUGAGGAAUAUUGGACAAUGGGCGCAAGCCUGAUCCAGCCAUGCCGCGUGCAGGAUGACGGUCCUAUGGAUUGUAAACUGCUUUUAUACAGGAAGAAACACUACUUCGUGAAGUAGCUUGACGGUACUGUAAGAAUAAGCACCGGCUAACUACGUG
rnacentral:rRNA from 1 species